UCUCUAUUUCUCCCUAAGACUAAAACCCAGAUCCGAAAAGCAGAAAAUCAGAAAUAGGAACCAAACCCAAAUCUGAAUCACACAUCCCUUCCCCUCCGUCUUCUUCCUCAUUCUUUUUUCUCACGCUCUCAUAUUCCGCUCCAUUGCCUCUUAAAUCCAAUCUAGGCCCAAAAACGCUAAUACCCAAAACACAAAUCCUAACCCCUCAGCUCCAAUACCCACAUCUCUUAUGCUCUCCUCUCGAUUUUGUACUUUUAUGUUCUGUGUUUGUGUGAAUGACGACUGUCUCAAUUUAUGAGGUUUGAGUUGAUUUUUCGAUCCAUGAUAGAUUUCCAAAUGCCCGGGCAAAAAUUUUGGUUUCCAAAUCGGCAAGUUGAGCAUGAAUAUUAUCUUUAGUUCAUCCUCGCGACUCUGCUUUGCCUCGUUUUGAAAGAUACCAAACAUGUGGUAGAAAUUUCGGGUUGCAAAUCCCAGACUGAGAUUGACCCUUAAACAUCUCAUUCUUCCCAUCCUUCUUUGCCUCGGAAUGGUUGCCAUUGUUUCCAUUUGUGUUGGGUCUAAUCGAAGUUAUUAAACUCUUGGGGAUCCCAAUUUUGUGGAAAAUUACUUUAAGAGCUAAAAAAUUCCAAAGAAUGAAGCAAGGAAAUGGCCACUUGAAGGCUCAAAUAGAAAGUUUUUUGAGGGGAUCCCAGGAGUAGAUGAGUUUGGAUGACUCUCCCCACCCCAGAUUACAGUCACCCAAACUUCAGUGAUUUGCAUUUUUGCUAAUUUUUGCUCUGGUGUCUUACUUGUGCAUAUGUAUCUUGAUUUUGCUAAUCUUGUUAUAGCUUAGUAGCCUCAAUUUUUUAUGUAUUCUUUUUUUUUUUGUCUGUAUGUACACUUGAACUAGUUGUUUUUAAUUUAAGGAAUAAAAGAAGUCUAGA